rnacentral:rRNA from 1 species
GAUGAACGCUGGCGGCGUGGAUUAGGCAUGCAAGUCGAACGGUAUCAUCCUUUCGGGGGUGAGAGAGUGGCGAACUGGUGAGUAACACGUAGGUUAUCUACCCUCAAGACGGGGACAACCCAGGGAAACUUGGGCUAAUACCGGAUGUGAGCAACUUUUAGUUGUUUGAAAGGUGGCGUAAGCUGUCGCUUGGGGAUGAGCCUGCGUCCUAUUAGUUAGUUGGUGAGGUAACGGCUCACCUAGGCAAUGAUAGGUAGGCGGCCUUAACGGGUGGUCGCCCACACUGGGAUUGAGAUACGGCCCAGACUCCUACGGGAGGCAGCAGUCGAGAAUAGUCUACAAUGGUCGGAAGACUGAUAGUGCGACGCCGCGUGAACGAUGAAUCCCUUCGGGGUGUAAAGUUCUUUUAUAUGUGAGCAGUGCUUCUUAUAUUAACAGUAUGGGGAGAGAGAUAUUAGCAUAUGAAUAAGCAACGGCUAACUCCGUGCCAGCAGCCGCGGUAA